GGCUUGCCUCUGGCUGGGGCCUGUCCCCCUGCAUAGCUGUUGUCUGAGUGGGCUUCUGGCUGGGGUAUGCACACGUUUACCAAUGGUAUAUGGGUGGGUCUCUGGCUGUUGCUUGCCCACCUGCAUAGCUCUUUUCCAGGUGGGCCUUUGUCUGGGGCCUGUGGGCCCAAGCUGCUAGUGUCUGGGUGGGGCCCUGGCUGGGACCUGCCCACACUCACAGCUCUGGUCCACUCAGGCUUCUUGCUGGAAUCUGUGUGCACUUACAGAUGGAAUCUGGGCAGGCCUCUUAUUCUUAAUUUAAUAAUAUGAACUUUUAAUAAUGUAUUCAAGAAAAUAAAUAAUAUAUCAACAUCAUUCUGUUACCUGAGCAUGGCAACUUGAGUAAGAAAUGCCCAACUAAAUUAGAUCAGCAUAGUUCUGGGGGUGGCUGAAGGGAUUUACUGAAGACAGAAGUCCCACCCUGGGUGUGAGUGACAGCAACAAAUAGGCUUGUUGCCUGAAUGGAAUAAAAGAGAAAUGAAGAAGGAAGGCUCCCUUCUGUUUCUUUGGAGGAGCUCCAGUCUUCACCUUCACCUUGGACGCUGUCUCCUCUUGGCUUCCAGUACAGACCCUUCAGCCUCCAGCACAGACCCUUCAGCCUUUCAGUGCAGAUCCUUCAGCCUCCUGAUACAGACUUUCCCAGGACACUACACUGAGUUCCAGGCCUUCAACUGGAUCUUUCAGAUCUCCAGUGUGUAGACAGGCCUUUUAUACUCUUCUCCACUUGACUCUGUGGGUGACCAUUGUAAGACAAUCUUGUAAAUUUUUAUAUAUCUGUAAAUUUGAAUUAAAUCUGUUUCUCUAGUAAGCACUGAUUGACACAAUCAGUAAGCCAAAAAUUAGUUGAAAAUUAUAUUGCACUACCUAUCUAUUAAAUGGCUAAAGUUAAAAAGAUUGACAAUACCAAAUGUUGACAAGAAUGCAAAGUGGUCUGUACUCACACAUGUCACUGAUGGCGGAAAAAACCAGGCCCACCACUUUAAAAAGAGAUUAUAAAAUGUGGAAUUUCACCAAAGAACUCAAACUUCUCAAAAAACAAACAUAUGGGGUGAGUACAGGGUACAGAACUUUUAGAAUCGUGGAGUAAGAAUCUCUGAAAACCUGUUCCUCCAACAAGAAUACUGGCAAAAAGUGUCAAAAUCAACUUUUUCAGAACUCUGGGAAUUAACUAAAAGCGUGCAGUAAUCCAAGAGUGCUUGUUCAAGAAAAAUGAUUGAAUCUUGGUAAGAACAGUUACCUUUGCCCUAAUCCAAUCCCCAUGUCUCCUACUCUGUAAAGGACUUAAAAAGUAAGAGUUCUACAACUAAGGUGUCUGUACAGAGCAGUGCAGGUAUGGAGCUUCCCAAAAGUCCAUUCCUGGAUGACUGGUAUCAUUUGGUCUGUUUGGCAGCUAACUGAAGAGCACCAUUCCCAAGGCUUGUCUUUAUUUAACCUGAGAUCAUGUAUUGAUUCUGACAGACACACACAAUGACCUGACAUACUUAUAGUGUGGCUUUUCCCAGCUUUUCUUUUUAUUUAACGGGCCUAUAUUGAUUGACCAUCUGAUGUAACUGUCUAUAAAAGAGCUUAGAUGUCCCCAGGGUCAAGUAACCAUUUGAACAUGGUAGUAGCCAAGUCAAGGGUGAAUCUUUGUAUGGAUUCUUCUCUCCUGUUUUCCAGCCUCUAUCACGCACCCUGUUCUUUGGAGUCCUAUCUCCAAACAUACUACCAGAAGACAGAUUUACAAUUUAGAUACCAUUGUUUGAGAAUCCUGGUUGAUAGUAUCCUACAUGCACCAGCCAAGGAUAAUCACUUAGAGUUCUUGAAAGCUGCCUCACUGCGAAAUGGUCCCAUGCCUCACAACUGCUGUUCCUUUAUCCCAACAUGUUUCCUCAUUCCCUACCAUUCCUGAUGAAGUCCAACUCCCAAGGACAGCCAGCUAGCUGUCCUUUGGUGUGGUUCCAUUACUUCUAUAACUUAACCCUUACUUUACUGGUUAUGAUUCUGAGCAUUUGCGCAUGGUUUGGCUUAUAAUGUAUAAUAGGUUCUCAGGACAUGUAGGAUCAAUCAAGAUCUCAGGGACUCUGGACUGUGUAACAAUUAUGAUUAUUCUCAGUUCUAAGAUGUUUGAUUCUUAUAUACAUGUAAUUCUGAUAUUGGUGGCUUUAACAAAUGUUUGUUUUAUUUUAUUUUAUUGUCUUUUUGGUUUUUUGUUUUUUGAGACAGGGUGUCACUAUGUAGUUUAGGCCUAGUAUCCCAGGCUGACCUGAAACUUACAGCAAUUGUCCUGUCUCAGCCUCCCAAGUGCUGGGGUUACAAGUGUGUGCCACCACACCUGGCCCUUAAAUGUUUGUUUGCUUCUCCUUUUAUUUUUGAAUGAGUAGCACUUGUCACCUUAUUAUCUGAGAACCAAACACAUCAACCUAUAGAACUCACACCAUUAGAGGCCAGGACAAGAGGAAGCCACUCUUCUGUGUGUUUAGGCUAUGCAAUGGUGUAUUGGGCUGUAGUUCUGAAAUUAAACUUGCAAUAUUAGUAUACAGACAUUAGAAAUAGUUCAGAAAAAAAUAUAGAUUUUGCUGAAUGAAUUUCUAGUGAUGUCCAAAAAUCCUACUGGUUUGAAUAUAACAUUUCAGAGAUUAGUCCCAUCCUCCAAAUUUUGGUGUGAAGGAUGUUAGGGUGAUUUUUUAUGCUGCUAUUUGAAACAUUGUGAUAUUCACAUACAGGGUGCCACAGCUAUUCCAGGUUAGGGCUAUUAGUAUCAUGGAGUCUGGGAGUCUGAUAGGCACUGUGUAUAGGCAAUGGCCAGUAGAAUCAAAAAACACUGAAAUUCAGUCUAUGGGUAAGGACUGUGCACUGGAAGGGCAUUCUCUGAAGUUCUGCUUCCUCAUCUGAAAAAUAGUACCUUCCAUUGACUUGAGAAGUUGUGGUACGGAUGUAAAGAUUCCAAGCACAGUGCCUACAAAGAGUAAAUGUUCAGUAAAUGAUCACUAGCUUUAUUAUUUCCCCUAUUAAAAUGGAUAUUGAAACAAUUUUCGUACUGGGGAUUGAACUCACUGAGCUACAUCCUCAUCCUUUUACAUUUUUUAUUUUGAGAAAGGUCUUACUAAGUCACUAAAUUGCUCUGACUGGAUUUGGCUUUGUGAUCCUCUUGCCUCAGCUUUCCAGACUGUUGGAAUAAUAGGUACAUACCAACAUGCCCAGGUUACUAAAGUAAUUUAAAGAAUAAAAAUGAAAUACCUUCACCUCAGUGCUAUAUAUCCUGUAGUUACUUUGGGCCUAGCAUAGCAAAUGUAUUUUCUCAUUUGCAUUGCUGUGCAUGGGAAUACAAAGAUAUAACCUGCAAAAAAUUUAUUUAGUAGAAAACUAGAAGGUACUUUGAGAACCUUUUGGAAAUUUGUAUUGAAACAGGUGAAAUAAAGAAUGAAGAAGCAGAUAGACUGUAGAAGUAAUUAACUUCUAAACAAGUCAGCGUUCUCUAUGCUGUGCACCAAAGAAUUUCAUUUAACGCAUCAAAUAUUCACUCUAAAUAUUGAAUACGCUAAGAAGUUUUCGCGUUCAGUUUUUGCUAUAAAGUUUCACUCUAGUCAACUGAAACAUUCUUUAUGUUUUCAAAGAGAAAAAGCAAACAUAACCACAUCAUUUUCUUUAAACAUAGACCACUUUACUUAACACAUGUCCCCAUAACCCAGGAAUAAUUUAAAUAAAGGAGGAGAAUUAUGAGUAAUUUUAUAUGCAUUGAAUGUAUUUGUUAGAUUUUCAUAUAUAUUGAGUAUAUGGCGAAGAGGUAGAAUGUGGUGUACAGAUCAAACAAUUCAGACAAUAAAGUUACUGUAUUUUAUUUCAUUUUUUUGGGUGCUGGGGAUCAAACCCAAGGCCUAUGUGCAUACUAGGCAAGCCUUCUACCACAGAGCUACCUCCCCACACUGGACAAUAAGUUAUUUUAGUAUAAAGACAUAAAGGCCAGGCUACAGGCUAGAUGGUAACUAUUUAAGUUAAAAGUUAAGUUACCCCAUCAUUUAGUGUCCACCCCAUUUCUGGAAGAAAGUCUGUUAUGGGUUGAAUUGUGUCUCUCCAAAAUACAUGUUCUGAGGUCUUAGCCCCAGUACCUCAAAAUAUGACUGUAUUUGGAGGUAGGGCCUUUAACAAGGUAAUUAAGUUAACAUGAGGUUGUGAGGGUGGGCUCUAACUCAAUAUGACUGGUGUCACAAGAAAGGACAUCAGGGAUGUGCUGGUACAGAGGAAUGACCAGGUAUAGACACAGCAAGAAGACAGUGCUCUGCAAGCCUAAGAGAGAACCCAGGAGAAACCAACCCUGCCAAUACCUUGAACCCACAAAACUCUCUGAUGUUAAGUAAAUAGGUAAGUAGCUGUAAUUAUUCUCAUUUUCUAGAUGAUGAAACAGACAUGGAGAUUUGAAUUUCUCAAUGUCUCAUAUUAAGUGAGUGGGGAAAUUUGGGUCACCCUAACUCCAAAGUCCCUGGGUCUGUUUUAACUCUGGCCUGAUGUUCGUCUCUGCCCUUUUCAGGGAUUUCUUCUCUCUAUUAUUUAUUAGUUUUCCUCUGUCUUCCCUCCUGUCAAGGCAUUCCAUGGACUCUGUUACCUAAAGUAGUCUUUUGUAGUAAUUUUGUAGUAACAUGGUUAUCUACUAUCAACUCUCUCCCAGGAAAAAUGCCCAUCCAUGCAAUGUCUUGAUUAAAAUGGACUUUAGCUAAAACUGAUUUAUCACUGACUUAUUCUUUUGUAAUGAAAAAAAGAUACCUUGCCACAAUUCCUUUUUCUAGUGGUCUUGCUAAAUAAAUGGUUAUUCUUUUAUGUGUCAGGGAAUGCUUAUGGAUAGAUACAAGACUGCCUGAUUGAUUCAUUUCAUAGGCACUUUUGAGUGCCCUCAUGUAUAAGGCACAAUACUGAGUCCUGUUGGAAUUUAAAAGUGAAUUUUAUUCUACCCUGCCUUCAAGAUGUUGCCAAAUAAGAAUAGAUCUAGUCUCAAGGAUUCUUAGAAUUUUCUACUCAAAGCUGAAAGUGGGCAUCUGGUCUACCACUGGGCCAGUGUUGAAUCUCUUCCCCAGCAUCCUUUACUGAAGCGAUAACAUUCCACAAUCUGCUGAGGCAGUGAGAAGACAAGCGAGGUCACCAUAGGAUGAGGCUGCAUUAAUAGUGCAUUAAUAUCUGAGACCAAACGAAUACUCACCAGAAAGGAAGGAAACCUCAUCCACACCUACAACCUCGUCUUCACUUGCAUCCCUUUCAUUUCGUCUCCUUGGUUUUGGGAACAAGGGCUGACUUCAGAAUUUAUGGUCUUUCACUAGGGGACACAGGUGGCUUAUCUUACACAAUAGACAUUGGAGAUUCAAGUGGAAAAUAAACAUGAAUGUGCUCAGAAGAAACGAACAUUAGACAAUGGCAAGAUGGGAUCACUUUUAGUGUUCUAGAAUCCAAUUCCACACCCCAGUAAUGAGGACACAACUAUCUGUAAUUAUGCCCUAAACUUUUCAGUGCUGAAGAGAAAUGAGUGUGGAUCCCUUCCUGCUUUUUAAGUAUAUGCUUCACCAGUCUUCAAGGGGGCAGUCCUUUGGUCACUUCUUCCAGGUCUCCAGGUUGCUGUGAAAUAAUGCCGAGGGGAUGUAAAUUGUAUUCAUCUCUGGCCCACCUCCCCAGGAGCUCCUCUGCCACACAGCUCCCUGACCAAGGAAUAUUUAGAGGAACUUGACACAAGCCACAUGUGAGAAACAAUCACAAAGAAAACAUUUAAGUGGAUGGAAGAAUUGACCCAGAUUCAAGGGUUGGAAAGAAGCAUGGCAACCAAAUCCCACAAAGGAUCCAAGAGCCCAGCUUGUCCAGAGGAGCGCAGAGUUGUAAAGGGCAUCGUCCGUGCAGCUGGAAAAACUGGUUCAUGGACUUUAACACCAGGGUGUAUUGUAUACCCCGAAGACAAAGUCUGUGAAAAAUGAGUAUGAUGUCUACCAACAGGGAUCCUUCAAAUUUCUCCAGUGGAGAUUUGAAACUAUCCUAUGAUGGUCUUCAAUAUUAGUCAACCCUCUGCUACCUGGUAGAGAAAAAACAGACGGAAAUCCAAUGGAAAUCAACAGAUGACUAUCUAGUUCUGGAAAUGGUGUGGUAAUUGCAAACACCACGUCCAAAGAGAAUGGCAAGCCAGCGAAAUUACUCAUCAGAAAGGAAUCUCAAAGCAGCAGUCUUGGGUGCCUGCAAGAGAAUCUUAUUUAUUACGUGGGAAAGGGAAGGAGGUAGUGCUAAAACUUGGAAGUUAAUAGUAGUUUUACUUAUUGAUUAUUACUAUUCUUUUGAGCACUGGAGAUUGAACCCAGGGCCUUAUACUUGCUAGACAAUCUGGUACCACUGACUUAUACCCUCAGCCACUCUUAUUUUUUAUUUUGAGACAGGGUCUUGCCAAGUUGCCAGGCUGGCCUUGAACUUGCAAUUCUCCUGCCUUAGCCUCCCUACUUCACCACCAUGCCUGGCUCAGCAGUUUUAUAUAGAGCCACCAUAAUGUGGGAGAAGCCAGUAGGUGAAUGGACACAUGAAUUUCUACAUCAAGAAAAUGGAAUAUCAUUCAGUGCUAAAAAGAAGUUAGCUUUUGAGUCAAGAAAAUACACGGAGAAAACUUAAAUGGAUAUUACUAAUUGAAGAAAGCCAAUACAAAAAGGCUAAAUACUAUAUGAAUCCAUUACAUGGCAUUCUGAGAAAGGCAAAAUUAUAGAAAGAAUAAAAAGAUCAGUGGUUACCAGGGGCAGCUAGGGAUAUUCUAUAUGACACUAUAAUAUGGAUACAUGUCCUUAUACAUUUGUUCAAACUAGAAUGCACAACACCUAGAGUGGAUCUUAACAUACACAGCGAUGUGUAUGCAGGGAAGGACAUAUGAGAGAUCUCUACCUUCUGCUUAAUUUUGCUGCAAUCCUACGAGUUCACUAAAAAAUAAACUCUAUUAAAAAACAAAGCAAAACAAAACUUAAAAGUAAGAAAGGAUCACUUUUCUCCAUGGUGAUGCACUGGAUCAUAUAGAAAAAAAUUUUCCUGAUGAUGUGAUUAUAUUCUUUUGCUGAAUACAUACUCUUAGAGGUGAAUUUGUCUGUGGUCUGAUAAAAAGGAAAUCUCAAAAGUGUGACUCAAAGACUAAAUCUGUUCCACCUAGAAUACCAUUUUUACCCUGGGACAGUAUCUGACUGCUGAGGAUGGGGCCAGGGGCCCUGGUGGUGACCCCACAGAGGGAGUUGUCCAGGGAUCAGCGUGGAGACAAAGCCUUUGGUUCAAGCUUGUUUCAGAAGUGCAGGUCAAGUGGUGAUCACAGAUGGAGCUGCUAGGGAGUGUUAAUAACACAUUCAAAGGAAUAGGAAGGAAUCAGAGGUGGGUGGAAGCCCUUGAGCCUCAGUUGAUAAUCAUGGGAGAAAAAAAGUGAGGGGGAAAAAAAAGAAGAAGAAAUAAAGCCACUUAAAGCAAAUUACCUAAAAGCAUCACCAUGUAAGUUUUAGUUAAUUACUUACUUUCUGACACUUGGACUUCUUGGAAAUGAGAGGCUUUGAAGAUAAUCUAAUUAGCUGGAGUGUGUUGCAGUUUCAGAAGAAUAAUAAGGAGUGUUUCUCAUCAUUUCCUCUGCUCCAUGGAGUUCAUGGAGACAAACUCAGCAUCAGCCCUACAGAUCUAAAAGGCUCAUCAGUCCCUGCAGUGCUAGAAAAGACAGACACUGGGGGCACGGUGCUCUGAAGGCUGCUAAACUUGCUGGGUAGUUUGAUGUCAGUGGACACAGUUCAAAGCUAGCUUGGGGAAGGGUUAUGACACAAGGGGAUCUCUGGGCUACUGUCUGGGCUGUGAAGACCCCUGAGGGCAUUUGAGAUAAAGAAAACUGGCAACUUCAGGUAUAACCCAGGCAGCUGAAUUAGAGCAGAGUUUACAACUAACAAGAGGUCUGCCAGCGUGUUGUUGAAUGGCCAAUGUAGUUGUCCUCUGAGAAGAGUGUCCACGAAUGUCAGGAUACUCCCAGCCUGGGCGUGGGGUGGGCUCAAGCCCAGAGAGGAGGUUGGGGCUUUCAGUUUGGGGUUGGGCAUUAUGGCAAGAUUCCUAGAAGUAGACAGGAAUGCCUAUUAGAUAUGCAAGGAUUUACAGACCACAAGGACAGCUUACUCCUGUAGUCUAGACUGCAGGCCAAACACGGCGAUGGAGAGGAGUUUGUCGUUGGAAAAGACUUGGGAAAGGAACAGCUAUAACUUAAAGUGGGGUCGUUUCACUGUCCUGUGAAAGCAUAUUAGGGGGUUGCUUGGUAAAAGGUGAAAGAUUUAUGCGAUCUGAAGAGAAACCAGACUAUGAGUAACUAGGGGGUUACUUGGAUGAAGCCAUGGGACACUGGUUUUUAAACCUGUGACUCUAAUGGAUCUCAGGUGUGGGAAACUGAGAUCCAUUGGAGUCACAGGAUUAACUGUAAGCCUGAUGAGAUGGUAACAACAUAUGGUUCAUAUGUUGAACUAAUUCCUAUCUCUGCCUAAUAUGGAGAUGGGGAAAAAAAACUUUAGAUCUGGCUGGGAAAGCAGAUACAACAAGUCAGGAACUAACCAAGAUAAAGAAAAAUAUUGGCACCUAUUAUGAGACAUACAGACAUAAACUAUUUGUGAAAUACAAGAUAAAGUAUGAAAGUAAAGGACUAUGCUUCCAGAGACCCAGCAUCUGGCUCACAGAGCUCAGUGUAUGUGCCUGGUAACAGAAAAGAAGAGCUUUCUAAAAAUAAUGGGUAAUAGAAAAGAGGAACUUUCUAAAAAUAAUGAUAAAGAGGUUGUGGAAUUACUGUUAAUAUAAUUGAAAUAUUAAUUGGUGGAAUUAGGGGAAGAUCACAUUUUAGAGUAGAAGACUUUUGUUUCUGUUAUGUCAAAUUUAGAGACUCUUAAUCUUUGAUUGUUCUUUGAUUUAAAUCACUUAAAAUAUGUAAAUCCAGGGCUUGGUAUGUAGUUAAAUGGUAGAGAACUUGCCUAGUAUGUGUAAGGUUCUAGGUUUGACCUCCAGCACCAGGAAAAAAACCAAAAAGAUAAAAAUAUGUAGGUCUAGUUGAUUCUGUUUCACUACUCUUUUUAAAAAUACAAUUAGUAAAAAAUAAUAUUUAGUUUCAGCAAAUUAAGUUUCUUUCCGAUUCUGGGGUAAUAGUUUAGCUCCAGUACAAAUAUUAUCUUUCUUAGAAUCUUCCUAAUAGAAUACAUAUAUCUGAAACCUUAUGAAAUUAGAGUUCGACUCUACCAUAAGUGAAAGUCAGACCACAAAGGUCAAGUUCAAAAAAUGUAUUUCCUGUGCUCCAAAGGCCACGAUGAGGGCUCACUAAUAUGUGAUGACCACAGUGUCUCCCUGGGCCCCUCAAGGAAACAAAUUCACUAACUGGUAAGGUCAAUUACAUUUACAUGUAAUGUAAUGUAAUGUAAUGUGUUACCAUCAUUAUUAUUAUUAUAUUGUCAUCCUUCUUACUCUAAACCAUUUAUUUCCUAAUUCACUUAGAGUCAAUUUGUUUAUCUAUUUUCCCAGAAAGUAAAAAUGUCAGAAUAAAAUUAUUUGAGGGAUCACUUUGGAAAAAAAAAGUAAAUAAAUUAAGUGUAUGUAAUACCUAAGCAAAACCAUUGUAGAGAUGUCUAACAAAUACUAAUAUAUUUAAACAUAGGGGCAUUUAUAAAUCUUGGAUAAAGUUGGAAAGAGUUAUUAUAAUUAUCUUCAGUAGAUUGUAAGCAUUUUUCCCCAUCUAUCCUGCCACCCAUCAAGAUACCCUUUAAAAACAAAGAUGAGUUACAGUAAGUUAAUAUUAUUUAAAUUUCCUUUAGUAGAAGGUAGGGAAAAUGUAACCCAUGGUUUUAGAACAAUUAGACUCACUCUAUGGGGGACAAAAGUGGGUAAUAGUCCAAGAAAGCAAGAAUUCAGGUCAUUAAUUUUUUAAGGAUAAGAGAAAAGCUGAGGAAAUCAAAGACAAUUUAAAGCAAGUCCUGACACCAGGUAUCUAUUAAGAAAGAAAAAUUCCAAAUGGAAAGAGGAAAAAAAGAGAAUGCUUACCUGUCUGAUUUUGGCAGUGAACAGGAGAGAAAGAAAUAUCA